rnacentral:ncRNA from 1 species
GGCCGACUCAAAGGUUCCCGACAACCAGGCCGGCCACGAGAAGGGUCUGACCGUGGCCCUCGCCGGGCACGCAGGCGCCAACCUCGUCUACGAAUCA